rnacentral:rRNA from 1 species
AGCAGCCGCGGUAAUUCCAGCUCCAAUAGCGUAUAUUAAAGUUGUUGCAGUUAAAAAGCUCGUAGUUGAACUUCGGGAUCAAUGGAUUGGUCAUGCCGAUGGUAUGAACUGGUCAUAUUGGUUCUCACCUUCUAAGGAACCAUAAUGUCAUUUAUUUGAUGUUGUGGGGAAUUAGGACUGUUACCUUGAAAAAUUAGAGUGUUUAAAGCAGGCUAACGCUUGAAUACAUUAGCAUGGAAUAAUGAAAUAGGACAUCGCAUUCUAUUUUGUUGGUUUCUAGGAUCGAUGUAAUGAUUAAUAGGGAUAGUUGGGGCAUUAGUAUUCAAUUGUCAGAGGUGAAAUUCUUGGAUUUUA